GAACACAUGGAGGUGCGGGGAGGGUGGUGAGCCCAGCGAGGAUGUGGAUCCCCAACGGCCCUUCCCACAUACCUCAUUCUUUCAUUUGGCUGUUUCUGAGUUAUGUGCUUUAUAAUCAGCUGACAAUGGUACUACUUAGAAUACAUGAAGAGGAAAAAGGGGGCUCCUCUCUACUUAAAACACAACUCUUCACCGUGAAUUGUGAAAAGUAAAACAAGUCCUAUGUCCCUUCCUCUUAAAUUUGGGCAGAAUUUGUGACUUCUUUGUCCAACAAAAUAUUGCAGAAGUGAUGCUGUACCAGACUGAAAAAGAGUGGCAAUUUCUAGCUGUGGUAUCUUGGAUCCAAAGAAUCAAUGACCAUGUACAACAGACCCAGUCAAGUUCCCAGGAAACAGCCAGCACCAGCCAUGUUGGUAAGAUAUCCUGAAAACAGAUGCUUCAGCCCACUUGAGCCACCACAGCUCACACCACCUGGAGCACAGUCAAGCCUUUUCUGCUGAGCCCUGCCCAAACAGCAGAUUUGUGAACCAAAUAAAUAAUUGCCAUUGUUUUAAGCCGAUAA